CGGGAUGUAGCUCAACCAGGUCAGAGCAGCUGCCUGAUACGCAGCAGAUUCCGGUUCAAAUCCGGCCAUCCCGA
rnacentral:tRNA from 1 species